rnacentral:miRNA from 1 species
AGGAGCGCCUCUGAGCUCCCCU